UGGCGAACGGGUGAGUAACACGUGGGUGAUCUGCCCUGCACUCUGGGAUAAGCCUGGGAAACUGGGUCUAAUACCGGAUAGGACCAUGCUUUAGUGUGUGUGGUGGAAAGUUUUUUCGGUGUAGGAUGAGCCCGCGGCCUAUCAGCUUGUUGGUGGGGUAAUGGCCUACCACGGCGGCGACGGGUAGCCGGACUGAGAGGUUGGUCGGCCACAUUGGGACUGAGAUACGGCCCAG
rnacentral:rRNA from 1 species